UCGCUCCUCGACCCCCACCAUCUCGGGUAACACUGUCCCUGAUGCUGCUACAGGUACUGGUGGUGGUACUACUGUCUCCUGUCGGGUCUCUGCCCUCGGAGCUACUGGGGGUGUGUCAAGUACAGGUGACUGUGCUCUCACUGUCGCAUCCCUGUCCGGUACUGUAGGUAUAGGAUCCGGAAUCUCCCUGUCAGUCGUUUGUCGCAGUAGUAAAUCCUCUAACCUCUUCAUCCUGUCCUCCUACCGACACGCGGCAUCCAUCUGCUGUCGCGCGGCCGCAGCCUGCUGAGCAAC
rnacentral:lncRNA from 1 species